rnacentral:snRNA from 1 species
AUCGCUUCUCGGUCUUUUGAUUCAGAUCAGAGUUUUAGUUUCUGUUCUUAUCGAAUUCACCUUUGAUACAGAUCCAAUAGGAAGGAUAUCGCUAAGGUUGCUUGAUUUUUUAAAGUGGAUGAGGUCGUGGGCUUGCCCAUGCCCGCUUGCUUUACCACUGCUCGGCCCAGCGUUAUUUGAGGAUUUUGU